rnacentral:rRNA from 1 species
AUUGAACGCUGGCGGAAUGCUUUACACAUGCAAGUCGAACGGCAGCACGGACUUCGGUCUGGUGGCGAGUGGCGAACGGGUGAGUAAUGUAUCGGAACGUGCCCAGUCGUGGGGGAUAACGUAGUGAAAAUUACGCUAAUACCGCAUACGAUCUAUGGAUGAAAGCGGGGGAUCGCAAGACCUCGCGCGAUUGGAGCGGCCGAUAUAAGAUUAGGUAGUUGGUGGGGUAAAGGCCCACCAAGCCAACGAUCUGUAGCUGGUCUGAGAGGACGACCAGCCACACUGGAACUGAGGCACGGUCCAGACUCCUACGGGAGGCAGCAGUGGGGAAUUUUGGACAAUGGGCGAAAGCCUGAUCCAGCCAUUCCGCGUGCAGGAUGAAGGCCCUCGGGUUGUAAACUGCUUUUGUACAGAACGAAAAGGUUUCUACUAAUACUAGGAGCUCAUGACGGUACUGUAAGAAUAAGCACCGGCUAACUACGUGCCAGCCGCCGCUGUAA